rnacentral:lncRNA from 1 species
CCCAGAAUCCACCCCUGAAAUCCAUCCCAGAAUCCAUUGCUGGGAUCCAUCCCAGGGAUCCUUCCCAGGAAUCCACCCCUGGAACCCACCCCAGAAUCCACCCCAGGAUCCAUUCCAGGGAUCCAUUCCAAAAUCCACCCCAGGAAUCCAUUGCUGGGAUCAAUCCCAGGAAUCCACCCCAGGAUCCACCCCAGGAUCCAUUGCUGGGAUCCAUCCCAGGAAUCCACCCCUGGAACCCAUCCCAGGGAUCAAUCCCAGGAAUCCACCCUAGGAAUCCAUCCCAGAAUCCACCCCAGGAUCCAUCGCUGGGAUCCAUCCCAGGGAUCCAUUCCAGGAAUCCAUCCCAGAACCCAUCCCAAAAUUCACCCCAGGAUCCACCCCAGGAUCCAUCCCAGGAAUUCAUCCCAGGGAUCAAUCCCAGGAAUCCAUCCCAGGGAUCCACCCCAGGAUCCAUCCCAGGAAUCCACCCCAGGAUCCAUUCCAGGAAUCCACCCCAGGAUCCAUUCCAGGGAUCCACCCCAGGAUCCAUCACUGGGAUCCAUUCCAGGGAUCCACCCCAGAAUCCAUCCCAGGAAUCCAUCGCUGGGAUCCACCCCAGGGAUCCACCCCAGGAAUCCACCCCUGGAACCCAUCCCAGGAACCCAUCCCAGGAAUCCACCCCAGGAAUCCACCCCAGGAAUCCAUCCCAGGAAUCCAUCCCAAAAUCCACCCCAGGAUCCAUUCCAGGGAUCCACCCCAGAAUCCAUCCCAGGAAUCCAUCGCUGGGAUCCACCCCAGAAUCCACCCCAGGAUCCACCCCAGGAUCCACCCACACCACCCGCCACGGUUGCUAAAAGAAUAAACAACAAAACCACAAACAAACAAAACCCACAAAAAAAAAAAAACAACAAAAAAAAACAAAACAAAACAAAAAAAAAAAAAUCCAACUCGGCUUUGGUCUUGCUUCUAUAAAUAUAUAGUGUAUACUUGGUGUAGACUUUACAUAUAUAAAAAUUUGUAGUAUUUUCUUGUUUUGAUGUCUGAUCUGUAUCUAUAAUGUACCCUAGUAGUGGAACAUACUUCUGACUGUACAAUUGUACAUUUGUAAACCUCUGUAAUGUAAAUGUGGAGAAGUUUGAAUCGACAUAAAACCCGUUUUUUGGUAAGAAAACAGGAAAAAAAAAAGAAUUUAGCAAAACCUGUGCAUUUCAGUGUAUAUUCACACCUUUUAUGGUCGUAGCAUAUAGUGUUGUAUAUUGUAAAUUGUAAUUUCAACCAGAAGUAAAUUUUUUCUUUUGAAGGAAAUGUUCUCUUUAUACAGCCUAGUUAAUGUUUAAAAACAAAACAAAAAAAAAAAAAAAGGAAGAAAAAUAAACUGCUUGGUUUUAUUUGUCA